rnacentral:rRNA from 1 species
AUUGAACGCUGGCGGCAGGUCUAACACCUGCAAGUCGAACGAGUGGCGGACGGGUGAGUAAUGUCUGGGAAACUGCCUGAUGGAGGGGGAUAACUACUGGAAACGGUAGCCAAUACCGCAUACCAUCAGAUGUGCCCAGAUGGGAUUAGCAAGUUGGUGGGGUAACUGAUCACCAAGGCGACGCUCCCUAGCUGGUCUGAGAGGAUGACCGGCCACACUGGGACUGAGAGACGGUCCAGACUCCUACGGGAGGCAACAGUAGGGAUUAGUGCGAAAUGGGCGCAAGCCUGAUGCAGCCAUGCCGCGUGUAUGAAGAAGGUCUUCGGGUUUUAAAGCAAUUUCAGCGGGGAGGCGUUACCCGCAGAAGAAGCACCGGCUAACUACGUGCCAGCAUCCGCGGUAAUUC